rnacentral:rRNA from 1 species
AGCGAACGCUGGCGGUAGGCCUAACACAUGCAAGUCGAACGGCAGCACAGUAACUGCUCGCUCUUACGGGGGGCGCGUGGGGGGCGGGCGGGGGAUACACCCGUAUCUACCCUUUCGUGGGGGAUAAGGUAGGGAAACUUACGCUAAUACAGCACACGACCUACUUGUGAAAGCCGUGGAACUUCGGACCUUGCUCGAAUGGAUGAGCCGAUGUCUGGUCAGCUAGUUGGCGGGGUAGAGGCCCACCAAGGCGCCUAUCCGUAGCUGGCCGGAGAGGAUGAUCAGCCACACUGGAACGGGAACACGGUCCAGACUCCUACGGGAGGCGCAAGUGGGGAACAUUGGACAUUGGGGGCAAUCCUAAUCCGGCCAUACCGCGUGGGUGAAGAAGGCCUUCGGGUGGUAAAGCCCUUUUGUUGGGAAAGAAGAGCAGCAGGUUAAUACCCCGCUGUUCUGACGGUACCCAAAGAAUAAGCACCGGCUAACUUCGUG